rnacentral:rRNA from 1 species
AACGAACGCUGGCGGCAGGCCUAACACAUGCAAGUCGAACGCUCGUAGCAGUACGGGAGUGGCGCACGGGUGAGUAACGCGUGGGAACGUGCCCUUUAGUUUGGGAUAACAGCUGGAAACGGCUGCUAAUACCAAAUACGCCCUUCGGGGGAAAGAUUUAUCGCUAAAGGAUCGGCCCGCGUAAGAUUAGGUAGUUGGUGGGGUAAUGGCCUACCAAGCCUACGAUCUUUAGCUGGUCUGAGAGGAUUAUCAGCCACACUGGAACUGAGACACGGUCCAGACUCCUACGGGAGGCAGCAGUGGGGAAUAUUGGACAAUGGGGGAAACCCUGAUCCAGCCAUGCCGCGUGAACGAUGAAGGCCUUAGGGUUGUAAAGUUCUUUUGUCAGGGAAGAUGAUGACGGUACCUGACGAAUAAGCACCGGCUAACUUCGUGCCAGCAGCCGCCGCCG